CGUGAAAUGGGUGUAUAAUGAUAAGGAUCGUAGAGAUUGUAAGAGCAGGUUUGUUUACACAAAACUCUUGUCAGUGCUCAGGAAGGAAAGAAGGCCCCAAGAAGCACUUCGCAUUUUUAAUUUGAUGCGUGAAGACUACAAUAUAUAUCCUGACAUGGCCGCAUAUCAUAUCAUUGCUGUUACACUUGGUCAAGCUGGCCUUCUCAAAGAGCUGGUUAAAAUUAUUGAAUGUCUGAGGCAGAAACCUUCUAAAAGAAUUAAUCAUAUGCACUUCAAGAACUGGG
rnacentral:misc_RNA from 1 species